rnacentral:rRNA from 1 species
CCUACGGGGGGCAGCAGUAGGGAAUAUUGCUCAAUGGGGGAAACCCUGAAGCAGCAACGCCGCGUGGAGGAUGAAGGUCUUCGGAUCGUAAACUCCUUUUGGUAGAGAAGAUCAUGACCGUAUCUCAUGAAUAAGCACUUGCCAAUUCCGUGCCAGCAGCCGCGGUAUUACGGAGGGUGCAAGGGUUACUCGGAAUGGCUGGGCGUAACGCGUGCGCAGGCGGGAUUGUAAGUCAGAUGUGAAAUCCUGUAGCUUAACCACGGAACUGCAUUUGAAACUCGGAGUCUAGAGUGUGUGAGAGGUAGGUGGAAUUCUUGGUGUAGGAGCGAAAUCCGUAGAUAUCAAGAGGAAUACUCAUGGCGAAGGCGACCUACUGGAACAUUACUGACGCUCAUGAGCGAAAGCGUGGGUAGCAAACAGGAUUAGAUACCCUUGUAGUC